rnacentral:rRNA from 1 species
UACAGAGGGGGCAAGCGUUGUUCGGAAUUACUGGGCGUAAAGGGCGCGUAGGCGGCCCGCUAAGUCGGACGUGAAAUCCCCGGGCUCAACCCGGGAACUGCGUCCGAUACUGGUGGGCUCGAAUCCGGGAGAGGGAUGCGGAAUUCCAGGUGUAGCGGUGAAAUGCGUAGAUAUCUGGAGGAACACCGGUGGCGAAGGCGGCAUCCUGGACCGGUAUUGACGCUGAGGCGCGAAAGCCAGGGGAGCAAACGGG